rnacentral:rRNA from 1 species
ACGAGCGGCGAACGGGUGAGUAACACGUGAGCAACCUGCCCCUGACUCCGGGAUAAGCGGUGGAAACGCCGUCUAAUACCGGAUACGACCUCCCACCUCAUGGUGGAGGGUGGAAAGUUUUUCGGUCAGGGAUGGGCUCGCGGCCUAUCAGCUUGUUGGUGGGGUAACGGCCUACCAAGGCGAUUACGGGUAGCCGGCCUGAGAGGGCGACCGGCCACACUGGGACUGAGACACGGCCCAGACUCCUGCGGGAGGCAGCAGUGGGGAAUAUUGCGCAAUGGGCGAAAGCCUGACGCAGCGACGCCGCGUGGGGGAUGACGGCCUUCGGGUUGUAAACCUCUUUUACCACCAACGCAGGCUCCCAGUUUUCUGGGGGUUGACGGUAGGUGGGGAAUAAGGACCGGCUAACUACGUGCCAGCAGCCGCGGUAAUACGUAGGGUCCGAGCGUUGUCCGGAAUUAUUGGGCGUAAAGAGCUCGUAGGCGGCGUGUCGCGUCUGCUGUGAAAGACCGGGGCUUAACUCCGGUUCUGCAGUGGAUACGGGCAUGCUAGAGGUAGGUAGGGGAGACUGGAAUUCCUGGUGUAGCGGUGAAAUGCGCAGAUAUCAGGAGGAACACCGGUGGCGAAGGCGGGUCUCUGGGCCUUACCUGACGCUGAGGAGCGAAAGCAUGGGGAGCGAACAGGAUUAGAUACCCUGGUAGUCCAUGCCGUAAACGUUGGGCGCUAG